rfam:Triticum urartu cultivar G1812 contig676951, whole genome shotgun sequence.
GCUAUCUGCUCUUCCACUGGGAGAGGAUUUGCCUGGGAUUGUUUAAGCAAUUCCCUUAAUCGUCGACCCCUUGCCAAUUGAUUCUGACUUGUUUUAUCGAGAGCAGAGGCGAGCCACACUGGGACUCAGACACGGCCCGGACUCCCACGUGGGGCAGCAGUGGGGAAUCUUGGACAAUGGGCGAAAGCCCGAUCUAGCAAUAUCGCGUGACUGAAGAAGGGCAAUGCCGCUUGUAAGGCUCUUUCGUCAAGUGCGCGAUCAUGACAGGACUCGAGGAAGAAGCCUCGGC